AUGUGUUAAACCGUGUUUGAUCUUAAUAUUUGUGCAAUCGAUAAUCAAAAAUAACCUUUUGAAAAAAUACAAAACCCGAUCUGUAGUAGAAUUUGGCUCGUUGAUCUUGAUCGAUUCAACGAUGCUGCUUUCUUAUACGAUCAGAACGAUCGCUCUUGCCGGUGAGACGUUACGUUUAUGUAACACCGUUCCGUAGGUCAAUUUGUUACCGUUUUUUUUCUCAAGUGGUUUCUUCUACACUCAUGGGAAUAUAUAGUCCAUCUGGUAAUUAGAAAGACUCCAAACUCAAAUGGUGUGACGGAAGCGAAUGCGCAACAAAUGUUACUUGUUUUAAACCAUAAAUUUUAUCUUUUCCAUUUCGGACCUGUUGUCAGUAUUGAUUUUUCCUCUGCCUGGAACGCACCUAACCGUUUUGCGACGCGCAUUUUGUGAUCACAGGAGAAGAACCACCGACUUGCACCGGGAACAAUGAGUGAAACUAGAAACUUGAUGACUACAUUUUUCAUCCUAAUCUUUCUACUGCUACUACUGUACCUAGUGUACGAAGGCUUUUAUCAACCAGACAUGUAGUGCGGAGGAGACAUGAGCAUUUAUAACGUUUUUAGUUUUGAGUUUAACGGUUUUUUUUUUCGCUGUUCAAAACACGCACCAAACACCACAGUAUCAAAGAUGCACUAGUUUCACAGAUUCACCAGCUUCUAAUGGCAAAUUUCUUGUUUGAUUUUAAUCUCCACCUGGCACCAAUACUAGAAACUAUGGCACAAGCACCUCUUCUUAGUUAUUUGAUAUCCUACAAAGAUGAUGGAAAGCAUACGACCGAACCCCCGGGGGGUUUUCUGUUGAACUUUAUCUUCUUACAUGUGUCUGAGCCGGCUGCAUCGUAGUGUGAACAAACAUUUGCUUCAACCAUAAUCAAUCCAAACCAAAUCCGUAAGCUUAACGUUUAACUAUAAUGAAGAAGGACGAUAAACUUCCAAAGGACAAGCAGAUGGACCGGAAAGUUAGACAUCCGACUGCAUCGUUUUCCACCAAAUCCAUCAUAAUGAAUCUAAUAAUAGCAUUUUUUCUUUAUUUGCUGAGGCGCACCAUAGAAGCUGGUGGGAAAAGUGCCAUUACUAAGUAUAGCAAAUUUAUAAAGUAAAACUUCAGUUGCCAUUGAAGGAGAAUGCCAAUAAACUUGUUAUGCUACCGUA